rnacentral:lncRNA from 1 species
UCUGUUUCUAGCAGCACUGUGGUUCCGCCGUGGGACCACUUUUACUGUCUGCUUUGUGCUUCUAUCUAUCGGAAAAAAUGUGAACUACGUCCUCAAACUCAUACCAGCUGUUGCUAGCAGCCAUUCAAUCGUGGUUGUUCACUCCAUACUGACAGAUAGACGCUAACCUAUGUUUUGGUGUUGUAAAACUACAUUUAACAUUUCAUCUAAACAAGCAAAGUGAAGGAGCCACUUUAUCUCUGAAACAGUUCAGGAUCAACUUAUCACAAAGCUUGAUGUCCAGUGACAAGACUAGAAAUGGAAGCGGGAGAAAGAAGAAAAAUACCAUGUCCAGUUUCAAGAAAAAUAUUUCCACAGAAAUCAGAAGCAGUGGAAAUGUGCACCUACCUAUACAUAUGAGUAAGAGAAGAUGCGCCAACUGCAGCACAAAGGAGAAUCCUCAUCGUUCUUUUUGGGGUUGUAAAGCGUGUGAUGUUGCGUUGUGUUUGACUCAAGAAAGAAACUGCUUUCUGAAAUACCAUUCUGCCUAGUACAAGAAAAAAGUUUGAAUCAUGCAACAAUGCAUCCAAAUGUACAUAUUUUUCAAUAAAUUGAUGUUUUUAUUCUA